UUUCAAUUAUCUGCAAAAGAUAAAUCCUUAUAUGGUACUGUGUCUGACGUGGGACUAAAUUUCUCUAGACACACAUAUUUGUGAAGAACCCUGAGGUUCUCAGCAGCUUUCCUCAUAGGCACAUGGACAUUUCAUGGGACCCUGGAAAGAUCACACAGUGAGGAAGACAAUCAUUCUCAUCCGGCCUGUGCACCUGCUGCAGUACGGUCACCUGGUCUGGCUCCAUCGAAGCAGAAGGAAAGGAAGAUUUCACUCUGAGAGGGAACAUAAGAGUCCGGGUGUCGUGUGAGCUGAAGCGUGGGGACCACAGCUUGAUAUUAGUCUUUCCAUUAUUUUGAGUUUCUACAAGUGCUUCCUAUAAAAUUUAUCUGUUUUGAAGCCAGAGGGAUUAAUAGUUUCUCAAUGAUAAAAGGCUAUCUUGUGAAGACAACAAUGCGUAUAUUAUUUGAAGUUAUUAUAUGCCAUUUGAUAGUGGUUCUUUUUUGACUCCUGUAUAAACCUUUUGGAGGAGAGAUCUCAAAGAU
rnacentral:lncRNA from 1 species